rnacentral:rRNA from 1 species
UCCAGCUCAGACCAGGUAACCCACUUGAAGCUACGCAGGUUUUUGGCCAGGCCAGUACUAAGAUGGGAGACCACCUACGAAAGCUGAGUUGCUGCUGGAA